GNACUGGCGGCGUGCCUAAUACAUGCAAGUUCGAGCGCAGGAAGCAGGCGGCAUCCCCUUCGGYUGGUGUAAGCCUGNUGGAAAUGAGCGGCGGACGGGUGUAGUAACACUCUGGGCAACCUGCCUGUAAGAUCGGAAUAACUCCGGGAAACCGGGGCUAAUGCCGGGUAAUCCUUUAUCUCGCAUGAGAGGAAGGUAAAAGAUGGCUUCUAGCUAUCACUUACAGAUGGGCCCGCGGCGCAUUASCUAGUUGGUGAGGUAACGGCUCACCAAGGCGACGAUGCGUAGCCGACCUGAGAGGGUGAUCGGCCACACUGGGACUGAGACACGGCCCAGACUCCUACGGGAGGCAGCAGUAGGGAAUCUUCCGCAAUGGACGAAAGUCUGACGGAGCAACGCCGCGUGAACGAUGAAGGUCUUCGGAUCGUAAAGUUCUGUUGUUAGGGAAGAACAUGUACCGUUCAAACAGGGCGGUACCUUGACGGUACCUAACGAGGAAGCCCCGGCUAACUACGUGCCAGCAGCCGCGGUAAUACGUAGGGGGCAAGCGUUGUCCGGAAUUAUUGGGCGUAAAGCGCGCGCAGGCGGUUCCUUAAGUCUGAUGUGAAAGCCCACGGCUCAACCGUGGAGGGUCAUUGGAAACUGGGGAACUUGAGGACAGAAGAGGAGAGUGGAAUUCCACGUGUAGCGGUGAAAUGCGUAGAUAUGUGGAGGAACACCAGUGGCGAAGGCGACUCUCUGGUCUGUUUCUGACGCUGAGGUGCGAAAGCGUGGGUAGCAAACAGGAUUAGAUACCCUGGUAGUCCACGCCGUAAACGAUGAGUGCUAGGUGUUAGGGGGCUUCCACCCCUUAGUGCUGAAGUUAACGCAUUAAGCACUCCGCCUGGGGAGUACGGCCGCAAGGCUGAAACUCAAAGGAAUUGACGGGGGCCCGCACAAGCGGUGAGCAUUGU
rnacentral:rRNA from 1 species